rnacentral:rRNA from 1 species
AGCAGCCGCGGUAAUUCCAGCUCCAAUAGCGUAUAUUAAAGUUGUUGCAGUUAAAAAGCUCGUAGUUGAAUUUCGGGGUUAGCAGGUCGGUCGUGCCAUUGGUAUGAACUGGUCUCGCUGAUCCCUCCCUCUUGACGAACUGUGAUGCCAUUAAUUUGGUGUCGCAGGGAAUCAGGACUGUUACUUUGAAAAAAAUUAGAGUGUUUAAAGCAGGCUCACGCUUGAAUACAUUAGCAUGGAAUAAUGAAAUAGGACGUUUGAUCCUAUUUUGUUGGCUUCUAGGAUUGACGUAAUGAUUAAUAGGGAUAGUUGGGGGCAUUAGUAUUCAAUUGUCAGAGGUGAAAUUCUUGGAUUUAUUGAAGACUAACUACUGCAAAAAGCAUUUGCCAAGGAUGUUUUCAUUAAAUCAAGAACGAAAGUUAGGGGAUCGAAGACGAUCAGAUACCGUCGUAGUCUUAACCAUAAACUAUGCCGACUAGGGAUCGGAUGAUGUUAAUUUUUUUAAUGACUCAUUCGGCGC